GAAAAUACACAUCUCCAUAUUCACAACAGCAACCAUCAUUCAAGAGGUUAUGGAAAUCAUCAGCCUCAAAAGCGUAAUAGCUCUACUUCUCUUGCUUUCUGUAAUUUGUUUUGGGUUUUGCACUGCCAUCGACACCAUGACCUCCACUCGAUUCAUCGAAGACCCUGAAACUCUAGUCUCUAAUGGAAGUGCCUUCAAACUGGGUUUCUUUAGCCUUGCCGAUUCAACCAACCGCUACGUUGGCAUCUGGUACAGCACCCCUUCUUUAUCAACUGUCAUAUGGGUGGCUAACAGGGACAAACCCCUCAAUGAUUCCUCUGGGAUUGUGACCAUAUCCGAAGAUGGUAAUCUUCUGGUUAUGAAUGGCCAGAAAGAGAUUGUCUGGUCCUCAAAUGUUUCAAAUGCAUCAGCAAACUCAAGUGCUCAGCUUUUGGAUUCUGGAAACCUUGUUCUGCAAGAUAACAGCGGAAGCAUCACAUGGGAGAGCAUCCAACAUCCUUCUCAUUCACUUUUGCCAAAUAUGAAAAUCAGCACUGAUACAAAUACUGGUGAGAAGGUAGUACUAACAUCAUGGAAAUCUCCCUCUGAUCCAUCUAUUGGAAGCUUCUCUUUAGGAAUGAAUCCUCUAAACAUUCCCCAAAUAUUCAUCUGGAAUGGCAGUCAUCCAUAUUGGCGAAGUGGUCCAUGGAGCAGUCAGAUCUUUAUUGGAAUACCCGACAUGGAUUCAGUUUACCGCAGUGGAUUUCAGGUGGUUGAUGAUAAAGAAGGUACCGUUUAUGCAACUUUUACUGAGGCAAAUUCCUCCAUCUUUUUAUACUAUGUCUUGACUUCCCAAGGAUCACUAGUGCAAACAGAUAGGGAGUACGGGAAGGAGGAGUGGGGGGUUACUUGGAGGAGCAAUAAAAGUGAGUGUGAUGUUUAUGGUACAUGUGGGGCAUUUGGAAUCUGUAAUUCAGGGACUUCACCAAUUUGCAGCUGUUUGAGAGGGUACGAGCCAAAGUAUACAGAGGAAUGGAGUAGAGGAAAUUGGACUAGUGGGUGUGUGAGGAAGACAACAUUACAAUGUGAAAGAACAAACAGCAGCGGUCAACAGGGCAAAAUAGAUGGAUUUUUUAGGCUAACAACAGUGAAAGUUCCAGACUAUGCAGAUUGGUCUCUUGCUCACGAAGACGAAUGCAGAGAGGAGUGUUUGAAGAAUUGUUCUUGUAUUGCUUAUUCAUAUUAUAGUGGCAUCGGUUGUAUGUUAUGGAGCGGAAGCUUGAUUGAUUUGCAAAAAUUCACUAAACGCGGGGCAGAUCUUUACAUUCGCCUUGCACAUUCAGAACUAGGUAAAAAUGUUCUUGUCUUCUUUACCUCUCGUUUUUCUGCCUGUCUCCUUUUGCAGAAAGGAAUAAUCCAACACUCUAAGCUUAUUAAAUACUUGGUGGCAGCUUGUAUCCAAUCCAGUCUCAUGUAUUAGCCUUGUUCUGUUUUACAGAUAAGAAGAGAGAUAUGAAAGUAAUUAUUUCUGUUACAAUUGUAAUAGGAACAAUUGCCAUUGCCAUCUGUACAUAUUUCUUAUGGAGGUGGAUAGGCAGACAAGCAGGUAAUUUGCCCAUUUACAGAGGUUCAGUAGGCUGUAAUAUAUUUGUAGUUGUUAUCUAGAAGUGACUCUAUUCUAUGUUCUGUAACAGUGAAGGAGAAAAGCAAGGAGAUUUUACCAUCUGACAGGGGGCAUGCAUAUCAAAAUUAUGAUAUGAAUAUGCUUGGAGAUAACGUGAACCGAGUUAAACUUGAGGAGUUACCACUUCUGGACUUUGAGAAGCUGGCAGCUGCAACAAACAACUUUCAUGAGGCCAAUAAGCUCGGGCAGGGUGGUUUUGGUCCAGUAUACAGGGUAAAGCUUAUUCAUCUCAAGCUGUAUGGGGUAUUAUUUUGAACUAUUAGCUAUUAAUCUAGUUGAUUUUUUGAAGGGUAACUUGCCAGGAGGACAAAAAAUAGCAGUGAAAAGACUUUCGAGAGCUUCUGCACAGGGUCAAGAAGAAUUCAUGAAUGAGAUGAUAGUGAUUUCUAAAAUCCAACACCGGAAUCUUGUUAGACUUCUUGGCUUCUGCAUUGAAGGGGACGUUAGACUUCUUGGCUUCUGCAUUGAAGGGGACGAAAAGUUGUUGAUCUACGAGUACAUGCCAAACAAAAGCUUGGAUGCCUUUCUCUUUGGUUAGAUCAUGCUAUUGUCCUGAAUGUUAUAUGUAGUUGUUCCAAUUUCACAUCUCUGCAUCACUAUAGAUUCAAUUCAGCAGUUUUUUUUGUCCAUAUUGUCCAUUGACUCUUAUGUUUCUGUUUUCCUUUUCUGUGCUCAUAAUUUAGAUCCUCUCAAGAGAGAGUCUCUGGAUUGGAGAAGACGCUUCAGCAUUAUUGAAGGGAUUGGAAGGGGCCUCCUUUACCUUCACAGGGAUUCUAGAUUAAAAAUCAUUCAUCGAGACCUAAAGGCAAGUAACAUUUUGUUGGAUGAAGACCUGAAUGCUAAGAUUUCAGACUUUGGUAUGGCAAGGAUAUUUGGAAGCAAUCAGGAUCAAGCCAAUACAAUGAGGGUCGUGGGAACAUAGUAAGUGGUCAUUGCCUUCUCACAAUUUCCUUAAGUCAUCUAUUUGAUAUCCUAAUAUUUAUAGCUCAAUGAUUUAAUGCAGUGGUUACAUGUCCCCUGAGUAUGCAAUGGGAGGACAAUUUUCAGAAAAAUCUGAUGUAUUCAGCUUUGGGGUGUUGUUGUUAGAGAUUGUAAGUGGGAGAAGGAACACUAGUUUUCAAUAUGAUGACCAGCACAUGAGCCUUCUGGGAUAUGUAAGUUUAUAAUAGAUAUCAUCUACUCAAUUAAGUAAAGUUUCAUCAUUUUCCUCUAACAAAUUUAACUUAAAAUUACACUAUGUUGUGUUGAGUUUUUCAGGCAUGGACACUAUGGUGUCAACACAACAUCCAAGAACUAAUAGAUGAAACCAUAGCAGAAGCAUGCUUCCAAGAGGAGAUAUCAAGAUGCAUACAUGUGGGACUGUUAUGUGUGCAAGAAUCAGCUAAAGAUAGGCCAUCCAUUUCAACUGUUCUGUCAAUGCUCUCUAGUGAAAUUGCACAUCUUCCUUCCCCAAAGCAACCUCCAUUCUUAGAGAAGCAGACUGCGAUAGAUACUGAGUCUUCUCAACCGAGAGAAAACAAAUGUUCUUCAAACCAAGUCACUGUUACAAUCAUUCAGGGCCGAUAGAUAUGAUUUGGUGGCAAUUAAUUCAACCUCCAUUCUUUUUCUUUUUUUUUAUAUAUAUCCCUUUUUAAUACUAAUUCAACUUGGUGACUUCAGUCCUAAGAACACCAUCAUGUUGUACUAUCGAAUUCGUUGAUUUGGAUCCUUUAUUCUUCAGAAAAAUGUAUAUGGAUCAUCAACAAUGAUCAUUUAAAAAAAACAUGGAACAGGGAAACAACACAUGAAGAUUAGACUUGUUAAGAUAUGAAUACUUUCUACUAUUUUUGGAUUAAAUUGAUUUUUAUCUUGAUAUCUAGUCAUCUAAUGUUGAGUGUGACAGCUUCCAAACUCCAUGCAGACUCUUCUUAUGGCGUGGCGAGGACAGUAGGUGGUGCUAGCAGACAAAAUUACAUGCCGUUUAAGUCUGACUAUUAUAGUGGGAAGAGUCAUGGGGCACCUUCUUUUGAAUAUAAAACCAGUUUAAAGACUCCCAAAAAUAGAGUUGACGAUGACUUUGAUAUUUUAUUUGAAAAGGAACAUCUCCACUGGUAAUGGAAAGAUACGAGGAGGAAAUUAAGAGACAGAACAUCUGAAAAUAUCUCUAGACACAGUCCAUUUUCACUGCAACAGAAAACAUUGAGGCAGUUAUAUAGAAGGAAGAUGGGGAGGUCACAUGGGAGAGAAAGCACACUGAGUGUGAUGUUUAUGGUAAGUGUGGGGUAUUUGGAUUCUCUAAUCCAAAGGAUUCACCAAUUUGGAAGUGAAAGGCUAGGAAUGGAAGGACAAUUUUGUUUAAGGAUGAUUUAUAUUAAAGUGAGAAAAUAUUACUUUUUAUAUUUGGUUUAUAGUAGUUUUUUUUUUCAUUUAUAGAAAAAGCCAAUUCAUUUUUAACGAUGCUUCCACGUGCUCAAACUAUUUUGCAUUCAACUUCAUCCUCAACAUGAAAUAAAGAAUAAAAACCCUAUCCUAAGAAGGUGAUACCAUGUGAAAUAUUUCUAAAUGUAUAGUUUGAAAAGAAAACAUAUCAUUUUUAAAAAUAUAAUUAAACAUAUGGGUAAAAAAAAAACAUGAAACAACUGAUUUUAAUUCACUUGAAAAUUUUUUUAUCUUUAUUUUUUUUUUUACAUGCCCUCAUGGCAUGGAGAUUUUUUUUUUCCUUUAAUAAUAAAUUUUAUUUUAAAGACUUCUUGCUCAAUUUUUUUCAAUGUAUUAACGUCCUAAGUUUUGUGAUUAAGUUUUUGAAUAACGGGUGUUUAGUGUUAUACUAACAAAAACAUCAAUGUCAGCGUAUUAAUGAAAGGGCAUAAAAUCAUAGCAAACUAAACACAAAUGUAUACAAAAUUUUAAUUUGAUUUGACCAAUUAUGCCUAUUUGCAUAAAUAAAAGAGAAUAUUCUAUUAUAUAAUGGAGAAUAUGACAAAGGAUAAAAACAUAUAUAAUUAUUGAGUUUCGAAACAUCCUACUUUUCUUUACUCUUUGUAUCUCUACCCUAAAUCAUGAGUCUUUUUGUUUCACCAAGUGUUUUUCACUCUUUUUUAUAUUUACAUCCUAAUAAGUUCUCUUGUUUCACUAAGUGCCUAUUUUUCUUCCUCAUAUCUCUAUUCACUUUAUACAAUCUUCACAAACUCAUCUUUCUCUCAUAAUUUUUUUCCGUAACUUAAAAUAUUUAUAGAAAUAUUCCUACUAACUUUUCUUAGAAUCACAAAUAAAUUUAGGAAAUAUUAUGUAUAAUAUUUUUAAACAAUUUUUACCUUGAAUAAAAUGCUAUUAAGUCAAUCUUUUACUUCCCCAUGAUCUAUGAUUUUCUUAUGCAUUUCGCUUUCCUUAUGUGCCACUAUUUCCUUCAUGCUCUCUAGUCUUAUCAUACACCAUAACCCCUUCUUUUUAUAUCAUUGACGAGAGAAAACUCAACUUUAUCUUAAACUAGAAUUCUUUUAGUAAUCAUUUUCUAAGUGUUAUUUCUUUUGCUUUUCAUGAGAUUUCCAAAUAAGGUUCUUUUAGACAUCUUCAACCAAAACUUUUUUAAACAAACUUAAUUUCUUUCGGUCAUCUUCAACUUAGGCUCUUUUAGACAUUUUUAACUAAGGUUCUAAUAUGACUUAGAUAUAUUCACACCUUAGUGGACCCUUUUACUUCAUCAAAUGUCUCUCACUCUUACUCAAAUCUCUAUCUAUCAUGUAUAAUUCUCAUAAGUUUAUCUUUCUCUUAUAACUUUUUCUUUUUAUGACCUACAAUAUUUAUAAAAAUAUUUCUAUUAACUUUCAUUAUUUUAUAAGUAAUUUAAUUACAAUCACAAAUAAAUUUAGAAAUAUUUUAUAUGAUACUCUAUAAAAAUAAAUAUGCUUUAAUUCGGAAUUCAAGACACUUCUUAACAUUUAAACUUGCAACAUCAAAUGUAAAUGAAAAAUAUGAAGGAAAGAAAUGAGAAGUUGCAAGGAAAAAGGACUGGACGAGCUUGGAUAAGAGAACAUUCAUAGAAAGAUUGAAAGUUGGAAUAUGGGUCUCGAGUUUAAAAACCAUCUUCAAACCGAAAUGGCCCACAUGAUUGUUGAGGUUAAAACCAAAUUAUUUAAGAAUAAAAAAAAAAAAGCAGAUUAAAAAGUUGAUUUCCAGUAUAUCCACAAUACCUUAAAAUGGGGAGUAGACUACCAAUAGAAGAGUAAGACCAGCCAAACAGGAAGAGAGUUGAGUGAAUCUAGAAACUUAUUGCCCAAUGCCCUUGCAUGCUAAGAAAUUGAAUAUGACUUUAUGAAUUUAAAAAAAAAAAAAAUCAUUAUUAAAUUUUUUUUAUACAAAAACAUCAAAUUAUUAUCUUCUUCAACUUUCAAACACCCAUUCAUCCCAAACCCUAAUAUCCUUUUCUUCAUUUUUUUUUUUAAUUUUCUUCAUCUUCAUCCUCAUUUUUUUCCUCCAACAUCAAAAUAAAGAAUGAAAAACCAUCGGAUUCGGGUUUUAGAGGAUGGGUGGAGUGAGGUUGAAAAGAAGACUAUUUUAAAUAUUUCAUAUAUAAAAUUUAUUUUCAUUCAAAAAAUGAUAGCCUUAUAAAGAGUUUUAAUGGAUAUAUUUAAAAAUUUUCUUAUUAGAAAUAAGAAUAUAAAUAAAAAAUGUUAUUGAAACUAAAAUCUCCGCGUUCUUAUUAGGAUUUUGAUUCUUGACUUGCACCUGAAACCAUCAUUCACUCGUAUUCCUAUUUUUAUUUCUACUCCCAUUUUUAUAUAUCUAAUGCAUUUGUAUUAUAAAAUUUGUUUAACAGCAUAAUUGCCUAAAUAUUUCAGCAUAGGAUCGAUUAAGCUGAAAAUUUUUGGAAACACAUUGAAGAAUUGGAAAAAUGUCUGAAGUUUGGCUGAGAAAAAAGGGGUAUCAUUCAGGGAUUUAGAAGCAGGAUUGAGGGUAAAGAUCGAGUGGCAUGGAUUUAUAUUUGAUUCAUUCUGUAAUUAAUUCCACUGGACAGCAUCAUGGUAUAGAAAGUUUGGACCAUCAAGGAGUCGAGGUGAAAAUUGGGCUGGGAGGCCCAUGGCCUGGCUCGGCAUGACACAGUUACUGUGCAGGUUGAAUGAGGCCAUGUUAAUUUCUGGAUUCAACAAUCAAAGAAUUUGAACAAUGUCUGACGUGGGGCGCAGGAAAGAAUAUGGAUUUUAAUAUUCACGAAUUUAGAAGCAAGCACUAAUAUUUGAUCCAACCUGCAAUCAAACCCAAUAGACUGUGUCAUGGUAUGAAAGUACAGUUCCUUGAUCCAUCCAGGACCCCAACUUAAAGCGAUUGGGCAAAAAUUAAUGUGGCAACCGGUUGAGGAAUUGGGAAGACAGGUGGCUUCUAGAUUAAUCGAAUGCAUAGCAUUUUUCUUACGCAAGGCUGCUUGAAAAGACAAAUUGAGUUGCCAGGCAAGACCUGCAAUGGUAUUACUAAAAGAAAUAUUUAUUUAUAUAUAUCCAUGUGGGAACGGAGGGAGAUGAUUUAGACCUUUUGGUUACAGAUGAAGAUGGAAAAUGUCAAAACAUCAUUGUAUGACAUAUGCAUCGAAAAUAUACAUCUCCAUAUUCACAACAGCAACCAUCAUUCAAGAGGUUAUGGAAAUCAUCAGCCUCAAAAGCGUAAUAGCUCUACUUCUCUUGCUUUCUGUAAUUUGUUUUGGGUUUUGCACUGCCAUCGACACCAUGACCUCCACUCGAUUCAUCGAAGACCCUGAAACUCUAGUCUCUAAUGGAAGUGCCUUCAAACUGGGUUUCUUUAGCCUUGCCAAUUCAACCAACCGCUACGUUGGCAUCUGGUACGGCACCCCUUCUUUAUCUACUGUCAUAUGGGUGGCUAACAGGGACAAACCCCUCAAUGAUUCCUCUGGGAUUGUGACCAUAUCUGAAGAUGGUAAUCUUCUGGUUAUGAACGGCCAGAAAGAGAUUGUCUGGUCCUCAAAUGUUUCAAAUGCAGCAGCAAAUUCAAGUGCUCAGCUUUUAGAUUCUGGAAACCUUGUUCUGCGAGAUAACAGCGGAAGCAUCACAUGGGAGAGCAUCCAACAUCCUUCUGAUUCACUUUUGCCAAAGAUGAAAAUCAGCACUGAUACAAAUACUGGUGAGAAGGUAGUACUAACAUCAUGGAAAUCUCCCUCUGAUCCGUCUAUUGGAAGUCUCUCUGCAGGAAUAAACCCUCUAAGCAUUCCUCAACUAUUCAUCUGGAAUGGCAGUCAUCCAUAUUGGCGAAGUGGUCCAUGGGACGGACAGAUCUUUAUUGGAAUACCCGACAUGAAUUCAGUUUUCCAUAAUGGAUUUCAGGUGGUUGAUGAUAAAGAAGGUACUGUUUAUGCAACUUUUACUGUGGCAAAUUCGUCUAUCUUUUUAUAUUAUGUCUUGACUCCCCAAGGAACACUAGUGGAAACAUACAGGGAGUACGGGAAGGAGGAGUGGGAGGUUACUUGGAGGAGCAAUAAUAGUGAGUGUGAUGUUUAUGGUACAUGUGGGGCAUUUGGAAUCUGUAAUUCAGGGAAUUCACCAAUUUGCAGCUGUUUGAGAGGGUAUGAGCCAAAGUAUAUAGAGGAAUGGAGUAGAGGAAAUUGGACUAGUGGAUGUGUGAGGAAGACGCCACUACAAUGUGAAAGAACAAACAGCAGCGGUCAACAGGGCAAACUAGACGGAUUUUUUAGGCUAACAACAGUGAAAGUUCCAGACUUUGCGGAUUGGUCUCUGGCUCUCGAAGAUGAAUGCAGAGAGCAGUGCUUGAAGAAUUGUUCUUGCAUGGCUUAUUCAUAUUAUAGUGGCAUCGGUUGUAUGUCAUGGAGUGGAAACUUGAUUGAUUNNNNNNNNNNNNNNNNNNNNNNNNNNNNNNNNNNNNNNNNNNNNNNNNNNNNNNNNNNNNNNNNNNNNNNNNNNNNNNNNNNNNNNNNNNNNNNNNNNNNACUAUCUGACCGAGGGGAUGCAUAUCAAAUUUAUGAUAUGAAUAGGCUUGGAGACAAUGCAAACCAGGUUAAACUUGAAGAGUUACCACUUCUCGCCCUUGAGAAGCUGGCAACUGCAACAAACAACUUUCAUGAGGCCAAUAAGCUUGGGCAGGGUGGUUUCGGUCCAGUAUACAGGGUAAUGCUUGUUCAUUUUGAGCUUUCUAGGGUAUUAUUUUGAACUAUUAGUUAUUAAUUUAGUUGAUUGUUUGAAGGGAAAAUUGCCAGGAGGACAAGAAAUAGCAGUGAAAAGACUUUCAAGAGCAUCUGCACAGGGUCUAGAAGAAUUCAUGAAUGAGGUGAUGGUGAUUUCUAAAAUCCAACACCGGAAUCUUGUUAGACUUCUUGGCUGCUGCAUUGAAGGAGAUGAAAAGUUGUUGAUCUAUGAGUACAUGCCAAACAAAAGCUUGGAUGCCUUUCUCUUUGGUUAGAUCAUGUUAUUGUCCCUAAUGUUAUAUGUUGUUCCAAUUUCAUAGCUCUGCAUCACUAUAGAUUCAAUGCAGCACAGCAGCAGUAUUUUGUCCAUAUUAUCAAUUGAGACUUAUGUUUCCGUUUUCUUUUUCUAUGCCCAUCAUUCAGAUCCUCUCAAGCGAGAGUUUUUGGAUUGGAGAAAACGCUUCAGCAUUAUCGAAGGGAUUGGAAGAGGUCUCCUUUACCUUCACAGAGAUUCUAGAUUAAGAAUCAUUCAUCGAGACCUAAAGGCAAGUAACAUUUUGUUGGAUGAAGAUCUGAAUGCUAAGAUUUCAGACUUUGGUAUGGCAAGGAUAUUUGGAAGCAAUCAAGAUCAAGCCAAUACAAUGAGGGUCGUGGGAACGUAGUAAGUGGUCAUUGCCUUCUCACAAUUUCCUUAAGUCAUCUAUUUGAUAUCCUAAUAUUUAUAGCUCAAUGAUUUAAUGCAGUGGUUAUAUGUCCCCUGAGUAUGCAAUGGGAGGACAAUUUUCAGAAAAAUCUGAUGUAUUCAGCUUUGGGGUGUUGUUAUUAGAGAUUGUAAGAGGGAGAAGGAACACUAGUUUUCAAUAUGAUGACCAGUACAUGAGCCUUUUGGGAUAUGUAAGUGUAUAAUGGAAAUCAUCACCUUAGUUAUAAAGAGUUUCAUCAUUGUAUUCCAGCAAAUUUAACCUAAAAUUACACUAUGUUUUGUUAAAAUUUUCAGGCAUGGACACUCUGGUGCGAACACAACAUCAAAGAACUAAUAGAUGAAACCAUAGCAGAAGCCUGCUUCCAAGAGGAGAUAUCAAGAUGCAUACAUGUGGGACUGUUAUGUGUGCAAGAAUCAGCUAAAGACAGGCCAUCCAUUUCAACUGUUGUUUCUAUGCUCUCUAGUGAAAUUGCACAUCUUCCUCCCCCAAAGCAACCUCCAUUCUUGGAGAAGCAGACUGCGAUAGAUAUUGAGUCUUCUCAACUGAGACAAAACAAAUAUUCUUCAAACCAAGUAACAGUUACAGUCAUUCAGGGCCGAUAGAAUAUGAUUAGGUGACAAUUAGUUUGAUUAUUUAUUUUUUAUGUGGGUAUGUAUUCAAUUUGGUGCCUUCAGUCUGAAGAACCCCAUCAUGUACUGCUAUCUAAUUUAUUGAUUUGGAUCCUUUAUUCUUCAGCAAAAUGUAUAUAGAUCUUCUACACUGAGCUCUUCAAAAAGAUAUGGAACAGAGAAACAACACAUGAAAAUUGGACUUGUUAGUUUUGGAUUGAAUCAGCUUUUAUUUUAAUACCUAGGCAUCUAAUGUAGAGGUGUGAUGGUUUCCAAACUCAAUGCAGACCCUUCUUUUGGAGUGGCAUGUAAAAUUGGUGCUAGGAGACCAAAUCACUUGUCCGUUUGUGUCUGCCCAUUGUUUCGACGAGGCACCUUGUUUUAACAAUAAAACCAAUUUAAGACUUCCCAAAACAGAGUUGACGAUGACUUUGAUAUUUUUUUGAAAGAAACAUCUACACUUGUCGUGGAAAGAUAUGAGGAGGAAGUUAAGACAGGACAUCUCAUACAACCUUUAGACGGAGUCCAUUUUCACAGAAACAAGAAGCAUUGGAGCAGCUAUGGGGAUCAACAGUGGCACUACUGUAAGAGUUCUAUUGCUCUUAUUUUAUUGUUUUUGGUUUGAGUAUUGCGUUUAUGCCAUAGACACCUUUACAUCCACACACUUCAUCAAGAAUUCUGAAACUAUAGUCUCUAAUGGAAGUCUCUUCAAACUGGGUUUCUUUAGCCCUAGUAAUUCUACCAAACGCUAUGUCGGAAUCUGGUACGGCAAGACUUCUGUAUCCUCUGUGGUAUGGGUUGCUAACAGGGACAAGCCCCUUAAUGAUACUUCUGGAAUUGUGAAGAUAUCUGAAGAUGGUAAUCUUCAAAUUUUGAAUGGCGAGAAAGAGGUUAUCUGGUCAUCAAAUGUUUCAAAUGCUGUAUCAAACACAACCGCGCAGCUUUUAGAUUCUGGAAACCUAGUUUUGAAAGACGACAGCAGUGGAAGGAUCAUAUGGGAGAGUUUCCAGCAUCCUUCUCAUGCACUUUUGGCAAAUAUGAAACUCAGCACCAACAUGUACACUGCUGAGAAACGAGUGCUGACAUCAUGGAAAAAGGCUUCGGAUCCAUCCAUUGGAAGCUUCUCUGUAGGAGUUGAUCCAUCAAAUAUCGCUCAAACUUUCAUUUGGAAUGGCAGUCAUCCAUAUUAUCGCACUGGUCCAUGGAAUGGCCAGAUCUUUAUUGGAGUAGCCAACAUGAAUUCAUUUGUUGGUAAUGGGUUUCGGAUGGAGCAUGAUGAAGAAGGUACCGUUUCUGUAUCUUUUACUACUAAUGAUUUUUUAUCAUUGUACUUUACCUUGACUCCUGAAGGAACAAUGGAGGAAAUAUAUAGACAGAAGGAAGAUUGGGAGGUCAGAUGGGAAAGCAAGCAAACUGAGUGUGAUGUUUAUGGUAAGUGUGGGGUAUUUGGAAUCUGUAAUCCAAAGAAUUCACCAAUUUGUAGCUGUUUGCGAGGGUAUGAGCCAAAGUCUGUAGAGGAAUGGAAUAGAGGAAAUUGGACUAGUGGGUGUGUGAGGAAGACUCCAUUGCAAUGUGAGAGAACAAAUGGUAGCAUUGAAGUGGGAAAAAUGGAUGGAUUUUUUAGGGUAACAAUGGUGAAAGUACCAGAUUUUGUAGAAUGGUUCCCUGCUCUUAAAAAUCAAUGCAGAGAUAUGUGCUUGAAGAAUUGUUCCUGUAUAGCUUAUUCCUAUAGUAAUGGAAUUGGUUGUAUGUCAUGGAGUCGUGACUUACUCGAUAUGCAAAAGUUCUCUAGCAGUGGAGCAGAUCUUUACAUUCGUGUUGCAGACACGGAACUAGGUAAAAUGGUCUUGUUUCCUUUACCUCUUUCUCUCUCUGCUUAGAUACUAGUUCAUAUUUUGAUGAAUUUUUAGUUCGAUAUUUACUUCUUGUUUUGAUUUACAGAUGAAAAGAGAAAUGUGAAAGUAAUUGUUUCAGUUAUAGUGAUUAUAGGAACAAUUACUAUCAUCUGCAUAUAUUUAUCAUGCAGGUGUUGGAUGACCAAACAAAGAGGUAAUAUUUCCCAUUUAACAUAGUCUAGUGGGAUGGGAUAUAUUUGUAGUUUUUAUCAUUACAUUCUCACUGCUAAAUUCACGAUCAGCAAGAGUAAGAAGGGAGAAAAUCCUGGAAGUGCCACUUUUUGAAAGAGGGAAUGUACAUCCAAAUUUUUCUGAUGCCAAUAUGCUUGGAAACAAUGUGAACCAAGUUAAACUUGAAGAGCAACAGCUUAUCAAUAUUGAGAAGCUGGUGACAGCAACAAAUAACUUUCAUGAGGCCAAUAAGCUGGGGCAGGGUGGUUUUGGUUCAGUGUACAGGGUAAUGCGUCUUCAACUGGAGCUUUAUUGGGUAUUAUGUUUGGACUAGUAUUUACUAGUUUGAUGAUUGUUUAAAGGGAAAAUUGCCAGAAGGACAAGAAAUAGCAGUGAAGAGGCUAUCAAGAGCAUCUGCCCAGGGGCUUGAAGAAUUUCUGAAUGAGGUUAUGGUGAUUUCUAAUGUCCAACACCGAAACCUUGUUAGACUUCUUGGCUGCUGCACUGAAGGAGAUGAAAAGAUGUUGGUCUAUGAGUACCUGCCAAAUAAAAGCUUGGAUGCCUUUCUCUUUGGUUAGAUCAUGCUAUUGUCCCUUCUCUUAUCCAUAGUUUCUGAAAUUUCUUAGUUCCACAUCAAUUGUCUCUUACCUUUUGUUUUCUGUUUUGGAUGCUAUUAAUUCAGAUCCUGUCAAGCGAGAUUCUCUAACUUGGAGGAGACGCUUCAGCAUUAUUGAAGGGAUUGCCCGAGGCCUCCUUUACCUUCACAGGGAUUCUAGAUUCAGAAUUAUUCAUCGGGACCUUAAGCCAAGUAACAUUUUAUUGGAUGAAGACAUGAAUCCUAAAAUUUCAGAUUUUGGUAUGGCCAGGAUAUUUCAAGCCAAACAGGAUAAAGCCAACACCGUCAGGAUUGCUGGAACAUAGUAAGUAGCCCUUGCUUUCUCCAAGUUCCCUUAACUUGGAUCCGAUAUUUAUUUCUGUCUCAAUGACAAAGUGCAGUGGCUAUAUGUCUCCGGAGUAUGCAAUGGAAGGGAUUUUUUCAGAGAAGUCCGAUGUAUUCAGCUUUGGAGUAUUAUUAUUAGAGAUUAUAAGCGGGAUAAAAAGCGCAGGCUUUUGUCAUGAUGAGCAGUCUUUGAGCCUUUUAGGAUAUGUAAGUGUUUUCUGUAUCAUCACCUCAGUUCUGUAAAGCUUCAUCAUCCUCUUCCUGUGACUGUUGAACUCUAAUAAGUUUCAAUUUAUGUGUUAAUUUUUCAGGCAUGGAAACUAUGGAAUGGAGACAGCAUGGAAGCAUUUAUAGACGGGAGAAUAUCAGAAGAAUGCUACCAAGAGGAGAUAUUGAGAUGCAUACAUGUGGGGUUGUUAUGUGUGCAAGAAUUAGCAAAAGAUCGGCCAUCUAUUUCAAUUGUUGUUUCUAUGCUCUGUAGUGAAAUUACUCAUCUUCCUUCCCCAAAGCCACCUGCAUAUAGUGAGAGGCAGAUUACAAUAGAUACAGAGUCCUCCAGGAGACAAAACUUAUGUUCAGUGAACCAAGUAACUGUUACAAACGUCCAUGCCCGGUAAAAAUUAGGUUAGAGAAAAUUAAAUCUUUAUUUGUAAUAUAUAUUUUGAUGAUUUCUGUGGGGAGGACUGUGCCCAUCCUCGUUUCAAGGAGCCCAUGAAGCUAUAGUUGCACGAAACAAUCAGUUUUGUUGAUUUUGAUACUUCAUUUCUCAAGAAAAAUCUAUACACCUUGAAAUAAAAACAUGCAGAUCAGAGAAAUAUCAUUGGAAAUUGGACAGGUUAAAGAUAAUAGGUAUUAAUGCUUUAUACUCUUUCUGGAUUGAAUUGCUUCUGUUUUAGUGCCCAAGCAUCUAAUGUGGAAGUGUGAAUAUGUGAUGGUUUCCAGAGUUGAAUGCAAGCCCCAUUUGUUUGACUGCCAGCCACAGUGGGUGGUUGCAGAUAAAAUAACAUUCCAUGUAAGCUUUCAAAUUGAUCCAUGUGAUGUAAUGGGGUUUAUUAAAAAAAUAUACAGGCUCCUUUUUUUGACGACCAAAUUGAUCCAAUCGUAUGGACAAAGAGAGUUCACCAUGACUUCGGCAGGAGCGGUCGGAUGAAUCUGAGAUGGAACAUUGUCAACAUCCCCAUUUAUGGCAUACCAGAUGGAGUCCAUUUUCUCAUCAACACGAAGCAUUGAAGCAGCUAUGGGAAUCAUCAGUGGCAUAAGUGUUACUUCUCUUACUUUCUUGUCUUUGUUUUCAGUUUUGCACAGGUACCAACACCAUUACAUCCACCCAGUUCAUCAAAGAUCCCGAAGCUAUGCUCUCUAAUGGAAGUCCCUUCAAAAUAGGUUUCUUUAGCUCUGGAAAUUCCACUAAACAAUACUUCGGGAUCUGGUACAACACCACUUCCCGAUUCACUGUUAUAUGGAUAGCUAACAGGGAAAACCCUCUCAAUGAUUCUUCAGGGAUUGUGAUGGUAUCUGAAGAUGGUAAUCUCCUGGUUCUAAAUGGCCACAAAGAGAUCUUCUGGUCAUCAAAUGAUUCAAAUGCCGCUCCAAAUUCAAGUGCCCAGCUUUUAGAUUCUGGGAACCUUGUUUUGCAGGACAAAAACAGUUGAAAGAUCAUAUGGGAGAGCUUCCAGCAUCCUUCUCACACCUUUUUGCAGAAGAUGGAGCUGAGUGAAAACAUUAAGACUGGUUAGAAGAAAGCACUAACAUCAUGGAAAAGUCCUUCGGAUCCACCUGUUGGAAGCUUCUCAGCUGGCAUUCAUCCAUCAAACAUUCCUGAAAUUUUAGUCUGGAGCGGCAGUUGUCCAUUCUGGCGUAGUGGUCCAUGGAAUGGUCAGACCUUAAUAGGAGUACCUGAAAUGAAUUAUCUCAAUGGAUUUCAUGUAGUUGAUGAUCAAGAUGGUAAUGUUUCUGUCCCUUUUGAGCAUGCAUACGCCUCUAUCUUAUGGUAGUAUGUCUCGUCUCCUCAAGGAACAAUAGUGGAAAUGUAUAGCCACGACAGCAUGGAGAAUUGGGAGAUUACAUGGCAGAGUCGUAAAAGUGAGUGUGAUGUCUAUGGCAAGUGUGGGGCAUUUGUAAUUCACCAAUUUGUAGCUGUUUAAGAGGGUUUGAACCAAGGAAUAUAGAGGAAUGGAGUAGAGGAAAUUGGACUGGUGAAUGUGUCAGGAAGAUAAUUAAUUUUAUCUUCAAGCUGUGUCAGAACUCAGAAGUUGUAGCAAAAUUAAUUUUUUUUUUAUAUUUUCUAAAUCCUUUUAAAGAGUAUUUUUAUUGUUGAAAGUGGAAGUAAGAAUGAGAAAUCCAUUUCAUGUCUUAUUUAGUUUUAUAUUUAGAUUAUUUAUUUUAUUUUUUAGUUAGAUUAUUUAUUAAAACAGAAUUGCUAAACACAUACGUCUUAUUUUCUUAUAAGUCCACUUAUUUUUUAUAUAUAUAAAAAAUUAAUUUAUUAUAUUUUUCAACUUCCAAACCCCAUUCACCCCAAACCCUAGUUUCAUUUUCUUCAUUUCUUUUUUUUUUUUUUUACAUUUUCUUAUUUUUUUCUUCUUCAUCCUCAAUUUUUUCCCCCAACAUCAAAAUAAAGAAGGAAAAACCGAUUCAUGUUUUGGAGGAUGGGUGGAGUGAGGUUGAAAAGGAGAGUAUUUUAAAUAUUUUGUAUAUAAAUUUUAUUUUUCAUUAAAAAAAAAUGGGUAGCCGUAUAAAAAGUUUUAAUGGAUAUAUUUAUAAAAUUUUUAUUAGAGAUGAGAAUAUAAAUAAAAUUUUUUAUUGAAACUAAAAUCCUCGCUCUUGUUAGGAUUUUGAUUCUUGACUUGCACCCAAAACCAUUUUUAUAUAUCUAAUGCAAUUUGAUUCAAAAAUUUGUUUAACAGCGUAAUUGCCUAAAUAUUUCAGCAUUGGUUCAAUUAAGCUAAAAAAUUUUUAAAACAAAUUGAAGAAUUUGAAAAAUGUCUUAAGUUUGGCUGAUAAAAAAAGAAUAUCAUUCAGGAAUUCAGCAGCAGGAUUGACUAUUGAGGGUACGGAUUGACUAGCAUGCCUUAAUAUUUGAUUCAUCCCGUAAUUAAUUCCAAUGGACAGCAUCAUCGUAUAGAAAGUUUGGAUCAUCAAGGAGUAGAGGUGAAAAUUGGGCUCGGACCCAUGGCCUGGCUCCGCUUGACACACAGUUGCUGUGCAGGUUGGGCUGCAUUAUGUGGCUCAGUGGAUCGGUCUGGAUAGGCUGGCUUAGUGGGCUCAAUGCAUCUGACUUUUGUUAUAGUGCAGUUUAAUUAUUUUUUUCUCGGGUCCUGAAUAAUAUUUAAAUGUAUGUUGUACUUGAAUUUGAUAUUUGAUUCUUUUAAUUGAAUGAGAAAAAAAAAAAUAUAUAUAUAUAUAUAUAUAGGUGGUCAAUAUGUUGAAUGAGGCCACGUCCAGGGUAGGCUUCUUUGAAUUCUAAAUUAAUUUCUGGAUUCAACGUUUAAAAAAUUUGAACAAUGUUUGACGUCGGACCCAGGAAAGACUGGGUUUUAACAUUCACGAAUUUAGAAGCAUGCACUAACAUUUGAUCCAUCCAGCAAUUAAACCUAAUAGACCGUGUCAUGGUAUGAAGGUACAGUUCCUUGAUCCAUCCAGGGCCCUAACUUAAAGGGUUUUGGUAAAAAUUAAUGUAGCAACCGGUUGAGGAAUUGGGAAGGGAGGAGUCUUCCAGAUUAGUUGAAUGCAAAGCAUUUUUCUAAUGCAAGGCUAUUUGGAAAGAGAAAUUGACUUGCCAGGCAAGACCUGAAAUGGCAUUACUAAAAGAAAUAUUUAUUUAUACAUCCAUAUGGGAACGGAGGGAGAUGAUUUAGACCUUUUGGUUACAGUAUUACAGAUGAAGAUGGAAAAUGUCAAAACAUCAUUGUAUGGCAUAUGCAUCGAAAAUAUUCAUCUCCAUAUUCACAACAGCAACCAUCAUUCAAGAGGUUAUGGAAUCAUCAGCCUCAAGAGCGUAAUAGCUCUACUUCUCUUGCUUUCUGUAAUUUGUUUUGGGUUUUGCACUGCCAUCGACACCAUGACCUCCACUCGAUUCAUCGAAGACCCUGAAACUCUAGUCUCUAAUGGAAGUGCCUUCAAACUGGGUUUCUUUAGCCUUGCCGAUUCAACCAACCGCUACGUUGGCAUCUGGUACAGUACCCCUUCUUUAUCUACUGUCAUAUGGGUGGCUAACAGGGACAAACCCCUCAAUGAUUCCUCUGGACUUGUGACCACAUCUGAAGAUCGUAAUCUUCUGGUUAUGAACGGCCAGAAAGAGAUUUUCUGGUCCUCAAAUGUUUCAAAUGCAGCACCAAAUUCAAGUGCUCAGCUUUUAGAUUCUGGACACCUUGUUCUGCGAGAUAACAGCGGAAGGAUCACAUGGGAGAGCAUCCAACAUCCUUCUCAUUCAUUUUUGCCAAAGAUGAAAAUCAGCGCUGAUAC
rnacentral:lncRNA from 1 species